AAUGGGCGCAAGCCUGAUCCAGCCAUGCCGCGUGUGUGAUGAAGGCCCUAGGGUUGUAAAGCACUUUCAACGGUGAAGAUAAUGACGGUAACCGUAGAAGAAGCUCCGGCUAACUUCGUGCCAGCAGCCGCGGUAAUACGAAGGGAGCUAGCGUUGUUCGGAAUUACUGGGCGUAAAGCGCGCGUAGGCGGGUUAUUAAGUUAGGUGUGAAACCCCAGGGCUCAACCCUGGAACUGCACUUAAUACUGGUAACCUAGAGUUCGAGAGAGGUGAGUGGAAUUCCGAGUGUAGAGGUGAAAUUCGUAGAUAUUCGGAGGAACACCAGUGGCGAAGGCGGCUCACUGGCUCGAUACUGACGCUGAGGUGCGAAAGCGUGGGGAGCAAACAGGAUU
rnacentral:rRNA from 1 species